UAGGGAAUCUUCGGCAAUGGGGGGCAACCCCUGACCGAGCAACGCCGCGUGAGUGAAGAAGGUUUUCGGAUCGUAAAGCUCUGUUGUAAGAGAAGAACGUGUGUGAGAGUGGAAAGUUCACACAGUGACGGUAACUUACCAGAAGGGACGGCUAACUACGUGCUAG
rnacentral:rRNA from 1 species